CCGCGGUAAUACGGAGGGGGUUAGCGUUGUUCGGAAUUACUGGGCGUAAAGCGUACGUAGGCGAAUUAGUCAGUCAGAGGUGAAAUCCCAGGGCUCAACCCUGGAACUGCCUUUGAUACUGCUAGUCUUGAGUUCGAGAGAGGUGAGUGGAAUUCCAAGUGUAGAGGUGAAAUUCGUAGAUAUUUGGAGGAACACCAGUGGCGAAGGCGGCUCACUGGCUCGAUACUGACGCUGAGGUACGAAAGUGUGGGGAGCAAACAGGAUUAGAUACCCUGGUAGUCCACACCGUAAACGAUGAAUGCCAGUCGUCGGGCAGUAUACUGUUCGGUGACACACCUAACGGAUUAAGCAUUCCGCCUGGGGAGUACGGUCGCAAGAUUAAAACUCAAAUGAAUUGACGGGGG
rnacentral:rRNA from 1 species